AGAGUAGGCGGGAAAAUAAGUUAGAAGUUUAAUAUAUAGGCUUAACCUGUAACCUGCUUCUAAUACUGUUUUUCUUGAGUAUUGGAGAGGGAGAUGGAAUUCCAGGUGUAGCGGUGGAAUGCGUAGAUAUCUGGAAGAACACCAGCUGCGAAGGCGGUCUCCUGGCCAAAUACUGACGCUGAUGCUCGAAAGCUAGGGGGAGCAAACAGGAUUAGAUACCCUGGUAGUCCUAGCCGUAAACGAUGGACACUAGAUGCUGGAGGAGUCAAUCCUUUCGGUGUCGGAGCUAACGUGUUAAGUGUCCCGCCUGGGAGUACGCUCGCAGGGUGA
rnacentral:rRNA from 1 species